rnacentral:rRNA from 1 species
AAAACUUUCAACAACGGAUCUCUUGGUUCUCGCAUCGAUGAAGAACGCAGCGAACUGCGAUACGCAAUGCGAAUUGCAGCUUCCGUGAAGCA